rnacentral:tRNA from 1 species
ACUCUCAUAACUUAGCGGUCAGAGCUUUGGUGCGUAAAGCCAAAGGUUCUGGGUUCGAUUCCCGGCGACGGUG